rnacentral:miRNA from 14 species
GACUUCAAGUCCUCUGACCUGCACACAUGUGUGAGUGUGAGUGUGUGUGUGUGUGUGUGUGUGUGUGUGUGUGUGUGUGUAUACAUGUGCACAUACGCUACAUGCAUGCAUCAU